rnacentral:rRNA from 1 species
GACGAAAGUUACGCUAAUACCGCAUACGAUCGUACGGAUAGAAAGGCGGGGGAUCGCAAGACCUCGCGCGAGUGGAGCGGCCGAUGUCAGAUUAGGUAGUUGGUGGGGUAAAGGCUCACCAAGCCAACGAUCUGUAGCUGGUCUGAGAGGACGACCAGCCACACUGGAACUGAGACACGGUCCAGACUCCUACGGGAGGCAGCAGUGGGGAAUUUUGGACAAUGGGCGCAAGCCUGAUCCAGCCAUUCCGCGUGCAGGAUGAAGGCCUUCGGGUUGUAAACUGCUUUGUACGGAACGAAACGGCGAGCUCUAAUACAGUUUGCUAAUGACGGUACCGUAAGAAUAAGCACCGGCUAACUACGUG